rnacentral:tRNA from 1 species
GCGAGCGUAGUUCAACGGUAGAACACUAACUUAGACUCUUCCCUUGAAAUUACUAUUACAGAUGCAGGUUCGACUCCUGCCGCUCGUG